rnacentral:rRNA from 1 species
CAAUAGCGUAUAUUUAAGUUGUUGCAGUUAAAAAGCUCGUAGUUGGAUUUCGGGUGGGUACCGCCGGUCUGCCAUUGGUUAUGUACUGGCGUGGCCCGCCUUGCUGUCGACGACGGUCUCUUGGGCUUAAUUGCUCGGGAAUCGGAAUCGGCGAUGUUACUAGCCUAGUUUGAACACUCUAAUCGAGUAAAUUAGAGUGUUCAAAGCAAGCCUUCGCUCUGAAUAUAAUAGCAUGGGAUAACACGACAGGACUCUGGCCUAUCGUGUUGGUCUGUAGGACCGGAGUAAUGAUUAAGAGGAACAGUCGGGGGCAUUCGUAUUCCAUUGUCAGAGGUGAAAUUCUUAGAUUUAUGGAAGACGAACAUCUGCGAAAGCAUUUGCCAAGGAUGUUUUCAUUGA